AAAUAAAUAAAUAAAUACAAGUUCACCUUAAAUCCCAAGUUUUAUUUCAUCUUAAAUCAAAAACAAGAACACGCCUUCCACUCCCAAACCCUUCUUAUUCCUUCUCCUUCCAUUAAUUCUUUCAAACCCAGACUCGAACAAGAAGCGACCAACAACCUUCAUUCCAUUUUCUUCCUCACUCAUUCUCAAGACUUACGAAAAGCCUUAAACAAUACAACCUCUCGUUUUGCUUCUCAAAACAGGCGGUAAUAAAGAUUUUGGUUGGGUUUCGGAAGUUGCAAGUCCAUUGUCUCUGAAAUCUGCACAACCGAACAAGGAAACCAAAACCAAUUUCGUGAUGCCGAUUUUUGCACUGAAACCAAAACAGUCAAUCCUCUUGUUGCCCCUGAAUUUCUGCCGAAAAUGAGGGAAGCCAAAAUCAAUUUGGCUUAUGUUUUAUUGUGCAACAAAAUCCUUAUUUGGUUGCUUCUGAUUCCUGCCGCAAGCUAAGGAUACGACUACGUCGAUGAACCCUUCUAGUCAAUUGCGGUGAAUCGGUCUUGACUCCCUGAAUCGUCUUUUCGAUAUUGAUAUGUUCAAUGGAUCGGGUUUACGAGCUGGUCAUUGACGGAAUGGUGGGACAUUGACUCCUAUUCCCCUAUUUUGAGUUGUUUGCAGAUCGGAACUGGUCGGGAACGAUGGGUUAGCGGUAAUGAUUAGAGUUACAGAGAUGUUAUAUUGAGUUGAGUACGUGAGAAGUCUAGUAUUGUAUUAGGUUUUUGAUAGAUGUAUAUUAGACUUGAUUGUGUUGAUUAUAUUGGACUUAUGGAGUGACUUUUUUAUUACUUUGUAUUUUAGUUAGAUGUUCGGUUUGAAAAUUAGUUGAGUUAGUUACGUUAAAGAACUGGUGACUCAUUUGCUCAAGUUUUAAAAUUGUCAUUUAAGUUUCUUAGAAAACAGAUCUCGUGAUGACCCUGUUUACCUAAUCAACGGUAUGUCGGGUUGUUACAAUUUCUAAUAAAACAUCUACCUAUUCUCGCUAAGAUGAUUCAAAUUUCAAGCAUGAAUUAUCAUUAGAAAUCAACUCUCGCCCUCAAUCCAAUGACAAUAUGAAUCAUCUCAAACCAUAAACCACAUCAAACCAAAAGUGUGAUACCUCAGAUUUAGCUUUAAUAAGGAUUGAUAGACUAUUUAUAUCAAUAAGAUGCAUUUUCUUU